UUUGAUGUGAUGGAGAACCUUCUUUUUGCAUAGUGUAGGCGCUCGUGACCCCUGGCUCAGCUUUUCACCCACAUGUUGUUGACACUGUAGUGGCGUCAUGCUGCCAGGGUAUGGGCGCGCCGCGUGCGGGCCGUCCACCCUAUCGUCCAUCACCGUCACUGGACGCUGUGCUGACCGGUCACUCCCGGGCGGGAGCAGAGACACAUUG
rnacentral:lncRNA from 1 species